rnacentral:rRNA from 1 species
ACGACUCUCGGCAACGGAUAUCUCGGCUCACGCAUCGAUGAAGAACGUAGCAAAAUGCGAUACUUGGUGUGAAUUGCAGAAUCCCGUGAACCAUCGAGUUUUUGAACGCAAGUUGCGCCCGAAGCCAUUUGGUUGAGGGCACGUCUGCCUGGGCGUCA